UUAAGCGACUAAGCGUACACGGUGGAUGCCCUGGCAGUCAGAGGCGAUGAAGGACGUGCUAAUCUGCGAUAAGCGUCGGUAAGGUGAUAUGAACCGUUAUAACCGGCGAUUUCCGAAUGGGGAAACCCAGUGUGAUUCGUCACACUAUCAUUAACUGAAUCCAUAGGUUAAUGAGGCGAACCGGGGGAACUGAAACAUCUAAGUACCCCGAGGAAAAGAAAUCAACCGAGAUUCCCCCAGUAGCGGCGAGCGAACGGGGAGCAGCCCAGAGCCUGAAUCAGUGUGUGUGUUAGUGGAAGCGUCUGGAAAGGCGCGCGAUACAGGGUGACAGCCCCGUACACAAAAAUGCACAUACUGUGAGCUCGAUGAGUAGGGCGGGACACGUGGUAUCCUGUCUGAAUAUGGGGGGACCAUCCUCCAAAGGCUAAAUACUCCUGACUGACCGAUAGUGAACCAGUACCGUGAGGGAAAGGCGAAAAAGAACCCCGGCGAGGGGAGUGAAAAAGAACCUGAAACCGUGUACGUACAAGCAGUGGGAGCACGCUUAGGCGUGUGACUGCGUACCUUUUGUAUAAUGGGUCAGCGACUUAUAUUCUGUAGCAAGGUUAACCGAAUAGGGGAGCCGAAGGGAAACCGAGUCUUAACUGGGCGUUAAGUUGCAGGGUAUAGACCCGAAACCCGGUGAUCUAGCCAUGGGCAGGUUGAAGGUUGGGUAACACUAACUGGAGGACCGAACCGACUAAUGUUGAAAAAUUAGCGGAUGACUUGUGGCUGGGGGUGAAAGGCCAAUCAAACCGGGAGAUAGCUGGUUCUCCCCGAAAGCUAUUUAGGUAGCGCCUCGUGAAUUCAUCUCCGGGGGUAGAGCACUGUUUCGGCAAGGGGGUCAUCCCGACUUACCAACCCGAUGCAAACUGCGAAUACCGGAGAAUGUUAUCACGGGAGACACACGGCGGGUGCUAACGUCCGUCGUGAAGAGGGAAACAACCCAGACCGCCAGCUAAGGUCCCAAAGUCAUGGUUAAGUGGGAAACGAUGUGGGAAGGCCCAGACAGCCAGGAUGUUGGCUUAGAAGCAGCCAUCAUUUAAAGAAAGCGUAAUAGCUCACUGGUCGAGUCGGCCUGCGCGGAAGAUGUAACGGGGCUAAACCAUGCACCGAAGCUGCGGCAGCGACGCUGAUGCGUUGUUGGGUAGGGGAGCGUUCUGUAAGCCUGCGAAGGUGUGCUGUGAGGUAUGCUGGAGGUAUCAGAAGUGCGAAUGCUGACAUAAGUAACGAUAAAGCGGGUGAAAAGCCCGCUCGCCGGAAGACCAAGGGUUCCUGUCCAACGUUAAUCGGGGCAGGGUGAGUCGACCCCUAAGGCGAGGCCGAAAGGCGUAGUCGAUGGGAAACAGGUUAAUAUUCCUGUACUUGGUGUUACUGCGAAGGGGGGACGGAGAAGGCUAUGUUGGCCGGGCGACGGUUGUCCCGGUUUAAGCGUGUAGGCUGGUUUUCCAGGCAAAUCCGGAAAAUCAAGGCUGAGGCGUGAUGACGAGGCACUACGGUGCUGAAGCAACAAAUGCCCUGCUUCCAGGAAAAGCCUCUAAGCAUCAGGUAACAUCAAAUCGUACCCCAAACCGACACAGGUGGUCAGGUAGAGAAUACCAAGGCGCUUGAGAGAACUCGGGUGAAGGAACUAGGCAAAAUGGUGCCGUAACUUCGGGAGAAGGCACGCUGAUAUGUAGGUGAAGUCCCUCGCGGAUGGAGCUGAAAUCAGUCGAAGAUACCAGCUGGCUGCAACUGUUUAUUAAAAACACAGCACUGUGCAAACACGAAAGUGGACGUAUACGGUGUGACGCCUGCCCGGUGCCGGAAGGUUAAUUGAUGGGGUCAGCGCAAGCGAAGCUCUUGAUCGAAGCCCCGGUAAACGGCGGCCGUAACUAUAACGGUCCUAAGGUAGCGAAAUUCCUUGUCGGGUAAGUUCCGACCUGCACGAAUGGCGUAAUGAUGG
rnacentral:rRNA from 1 species